rnacentral:rRNA from 1 species
GACGAACGCUGGCGGCGUGCUUAACACAUGCAAGUCGAACGGAAAGGCCCUGCUUUUGUGGGGUGCUCGAGUGGCGAACGGGUGAGUAACACGUGAGUAACCUGCCCUUGACUUUGGGAUAACUUCAGGAAACUGGGGCUAAUACCGGAUAGGAGCUCCUGCUGCAUGGUGGGGGUCGGAAAGCUUCGGCGGUUGGGGAUGUACUCGCGGCUUAUCAGCUUGUUGGUGGGGUAGUGGCUUACCAAGGCUUUGACGGGUAGCCGGCCUGAGAGGGUGACCGGCGACAUUGGGACUGAGAUACGGCCCAGACUCCUACGGGAGGCAGCAGUGGGGAAUAUUGCACAAUGGGCGGAAGCCUGAUGCAGCAACGCCGCGUGCGGGAUGACGGCCUUCGGGUUGUAAACCGCUUUCGCCUGUGACGAAGCGUGAGUGACGGUAAUGGGUAAAGAAGCACCGGCUAACUACGUG